CUAAAGACUAAGCCAUGCAUGCCUUCGAAUAAGAAAAAGCAAUUCUUUCUGAAUCUGCGAACGGCUCCGCAAACCAGUUGUAAACUAUAGCAAGCAAGCUUGGGGGGAAGGCCUUCGGGCUAACCUCCUGGGUUAGAUGGAUAACCGUGGUAAUUCUGUGGCUAAUACGUGACCGCAAACCUUGGGGCCCGGUUGCGGCUGGGUACCCUGAGGGACGUGUGAUCGAGGCCUGAGUUUUAACCGCCGGGAAAGGGUGCACGUCCAGACCGCUAUCAAAAGGGAUCCGAACCUUCUUUCCUUCGGGAGGGUGGGGACUGGCCCCGGCGGCUCUUGCUGUGUGCUUCUGACCUAUCAACUAGAUGGCAGCAUAAGGGACAUGCUUUGGUUACAACGGGUACAGAGGAUUAGGGUUCGAUCCUGGAGAGUGGGCCUGAGAGAUUGCUCAUACUUCUAAGGAAGGCAGCAGGCGCGCAACGUUCCCAUUGGGCAAUGCCCGAGGGCGUUAGGGGACAUAUGAAUGCCUGCCCAUUGGGUGGGCAAUUCAAAUGGGUCUGUUCUAAACAGGCUCUCGAGUAACAAUUAGAGGACAAGUCUGGUGCCAGCACCCGCGGUAAUUCCAGCUCUAAUAGCAUACGUUAAAGUUGUUGCGGUUAAAACGCUCGUAGUCGGCUACAGACCAUCAGAAGCCAGAACAGGGAUCUCGGGUCCGCUGCCUUUCGGGGUGCGCCGGGUGACCAGCGAUGGUGGGCGGUGGUCAAGUGUGCCCCCGACUGUAUCUUCGGAUUCACAGGGUUGGACCUGCACUGGGCUUGCCCUGCGGUAGGACCGGCUCGGUUAGGGCUGCCACUUACCAUGAUAAAACUGGGGUGAUUAAAGCAGGUCAAUCGACCUUAUACAGAUCAGCAUGGAAUAAAACAAGCCAAACAGCAAUUCUCACCUGCAGUGCUAAGCUGGCAGUAGCAAAAGGGGUGUUCGAGGGUGACCGAAUUGCCUGGGGAGUGGUGAAAUACGUUGAUCCAGGCAAGUCGACCAAAGGCGUAGGCAGUCAUCAAGGGCACGCCCGUUGAUCAAGAGCGAAAGUUAAGGGUUCGAAGACGAUCAGAUACCGUCGUAGUCUUAACUAUAAAUGAUACUAGCUAGAGAUGGGGUAAUGUCCAUCUCGACUCUUCCUGGAUCUUAGAGAAAUCAGAGUCUUUGAGUUCUGGGGGGAGUAUGGUCGCAAGGCUGAAACUUAAAGGAAUUGACGGAAGGGCACACAAAGAGUGGAACCUGCGGCUUAAUUUGACUCAACACGGGAAAACUCACCAGGUCCGGAUACACGGAUGAAGAACAAGCUGAAAGACUUUUUCCAAUGAUGUAAGUGGUGGUGCAUGGUCGUUCUUAGUUCGUGGAGUGAUUUGUCUGGUCUAUUCCGUUAACGAGCGAGACCCCGACGUUCCUAAUAGGGGCAGCAGCCCGGCUUGCCUGGCCCGCAAGGGCUGAGCUCGCUAGCAGCUGCCUCAAACAAUGCUUCUUAGACGUAUCCAAGCCGAUAAGGUUCUUGAAAUGGGUUAAUAACAGGUCAGUCAUGCCCUUAGAUGUUCUGGGCCGCACGCGCGUUACAAUGGCAUGUUAAAAGCGUGCCUAAAAGGGCGUUUCCGCGGCCUAUAGGCUGUGGUAACCCCUAAUCCCUGCCUUGACUGGGAUAGAUUAUUGCAAAUAUUGGUCUCCAACGAGGAAUUUUUAGUAGUCAUCGGUCAUUAACCUGUGACGAAUGAGUCCCUGCCCUUUGUACACACCGCCCGUCGCUGCUACCGAUUGGGCUUUGCGGUUACGAGUUCGGAGACUGUGGCUAUUGUCUGCCUUCGGGUAGGUAAGAACUGCGGUUGAAGUCCUAAUUACCGC
rnacentral:rRNA from 1 species